rnacentral:rRNA from 1 species
AUUGAACGCUGGCGGCGGGCCUAACACAUGCAAGUCGAACGAGUGGCGGACGGGUGAGUAAUGUCUUGAAAACUGCCCGAUGGAGGGGGAUCACUACUGGAAACGGUAGCUAAUACCGCAUACCAUCGGCUGUUCACCACGGGGAUUAGCGAGUCGGUGGGGUAACGGCUCACCUAGGCGACGAUCCCUAGCUGGGCUUAGAGGAGGACCAGCAACACUGGAAGUGAGAUACGGGCCAGACUGCUGCGGGAGGCAGCCGUGGGGAUUUUGGCACAAUGGACAAAAGCCCUAUGCAGCAAUGCCGCGGGUAUGAAGAAGGCCUUCGGCUUGUAAAGUACUUUCAGCGAGGACGCGUUGCUCGCAGAAGAAGCUCCGGCUAACUCCGUGGCAGCAGCCGCGGUAAUUC